GUUGAGCUAAUCAGUGUUUAGGGGUUACCAAUUUUCGUAGAGGAUGCAGGAUAUCACGCAAAAUUACAAGAGAGGAUAUAUCCAUUGAUGUCCACAGCCUCUACUCGUUUUUGCAUGUUCUUCUUUAGGAACAGUCGCUCUGAUCUGCAUGGUUCUCAUCUCUUCACUUUAUACUCCUUUCUAGUUUACCAGUGGCAUCUGUCUUUCUUAGGAAUCUUCUCCUCCUUCAUCACCUUAUUCAGAAGUACAUAAUUUUUUUUUUCUUCACAAUCUUUUCAAAGGUGAUGG
rnacentral:lncRNA from 1 species